rnacentral:lncRNA from 1 species
UAUUGAUGCGGGAUUAUUGCUGUGGUUAGGUGUUCGGUGACUGAAGCUCAUGUAGACAAUAAUUUUGUCGAAAUUACUUAAAUAUAAAUACAUAUGUAUAUUUCUUUUUAUUCAUAAGGAAGUAAAAUGAGAAUAGGGCUGUAAGCUAUUUUUAUUCUUGUUCAUAGUUGGAAAAAGUAACACAUCGCCAUUUCUUCAAUGUUCCAUUAGAUAGACUAAUUGUGAAUAUGGAACGCUGUCUUAUCCUAAGUUACAUCUUAUAUGUGUAUCUUGUUUGUUGUGUUUUGGUUAACAGAAUGACAUACAUUGGUUAUCAAAUCGGUUAACAAUCCCUAAAAUUGUUUAAAACAGCAACAUUCAUCAUACGAAAUGUUUGAAUGUUUAAGAAUGAGACGCACAUACUGACAAUGAAUCCUAUACAAAUUGACGCCAUUGUUACAAAUAUUUUAUUAAAAACCCGAAUAAUUGGAAGAAGAAGUAUUAAAUAUUUUUGAUAUAUUAUUGAAAUUUUAUGUAGCAGUCAUUGUANAAUUGCGAAAUUACGACCAAGUGCCAUGAGGACCUGUUAUAGCAGGCUUCUAACAACUUCUCUCAAAUCUGCCAUCAGUAGCAGCAGAUUCCCAGGCUAAUUCAAUAAAAAAAGCUGCAGUUAUUAAAAAAUCGUGGAUCUUACGAACACCAUGCAACAAUUCGACGUAAAUAUGUAUGCUGUAAGAUUUGGUUUCGAUAAUAGUUGAUUUGUGAUACGGGUUUGCAGCAACCAUUAGGAACCUUGGCGAAGAUGUGCUGCUGUGUCAUCAAACAACAUAACAUUGUGUGUACAUAUAUAUAGAAAUUCUGAUGUAUGCAGUUACAUACAUAUAUAAAAUGUGCGUCGCUUGGCCAAUACACUUAGAAGAAAAAAUGGACCAUUUUUUUUUACAGCAUUUGCGGACGAGCUAUUAGCUGCUUCCCGGCUGAAUUUCUCAAAACUAAGGGUGUUUGUGUACCAGAAGCUCAUUCGACAUUUCCUUAUUCAAACGACACAGUUGUGUUGAAAGCGGUAGCACCUAUGCAAGUUGGUGAAGAAAUUUGCAUAUCCUACUUGGAUGAGUACCAGCUGGAGCACACAAAAUUAAGUAGUAACUAUAGUAUUUAUUUUUAAAGUUUAAUAUAGAUGCCUAAACAAAUACAGACAAAAUAUAAUUUAA